rnacentral:lncRNA from 1 species
CCGGCCGUUUGUUAGGAUCUUCUCGCCGUAACCAGUAAUAGGCUUGCUUAUCUGCCGUUUCAUUCGCAUUAUCGUGAGCGGGUCUGGUGAACUACCCUUUCACCGGUUCUAGCUACUAUUGGAUUUGAACCAAUUAAGUAUUCCAACUCUGCCUUUUAGGGUAAGAUACCCUGGCUUUCAGUUGCUGUACUGGUCAUUGGCGACCUUGGGACGCAUCUCAAGUGUACUGGGCACCCCCUCUUUGCUUAUAGACUCAGCACAGAAAAAGCAAACAAAAAAGAAGCAACUCCUUGAGCGCUAGGAGAGGGACCGCCAGAUUGAGGAUGAGGAGCGGGGUCGUUUUUCAAGCACGAAUAGAACGAUCUAAUCUAAAGGGGUGUGCAACCUAGAGAGAUGGCCGUCUCUCUUUGAUGAAUGUGGUAUCGAGGUUCGGUUCAUUUGGAAAAGAGGUCAGUCUUAGGUUAGGGGAGACCAUGCGAAUGGUUGAAUUGAAUACACGUUUUCUCAUUAAUCCAAUCUAAGCGGCGAAAUCGAUUUGUGGUGGAACUAAUAUAUAUUUAUAUAUAUGUUUGCUUCGAAACAAGAGAUCGGCCCCGAAGCAAGGUAUGGUGGGUGCCAGCAACUUUCACUUGUUGGGAGUAGGGGCUGAAAAGAGCUCUUUGUAUAGGUUGGGUUUGCUGGGCUUUGAUGCUUACCUUAUUAUUAUGAAAAGGGGAAGGUUUGAUAAAGGAGCUUUUAAGCCCUUUUGCUGGAUUGUUGGUCUGCAGCCCCGCCCUAUAGAUAGAAUGAAUCAAAUAAGGAGAGGCGACCGAGCCACUCUUAUACAACUCCUUACCUCACCCCCUUCUCACUCACUUAAAGGAAGGGCG